GACGAACGCUGGCGGCGUGCUUAACACAUGCAAGUCGAACGGAAAGGCCCUGCUUUUGUGUGGUGCUCGAUUGGCGAACGGGUGUGUAACACGUGUGUAACCUGCCCUUGACUUUGGGAUAACUUCAGGAAACUGGGGCUAUUACCGGAUAGGAGCUUCUGCUGCAUGUUGGGGGUUGGAAAGUUUCGGCGGUUGGGGAUGGACUCGCGGCUUAUCCGCUUGUUGGUGGGGUAGUGGCUUACCAAGGUUUUGACGGGUAGCCGGCAUGAGAGGGUGACCGGCCACAUUGGGACUGAGGUACGGCCCAGACUCCUACGGGAGGCAGCAGGGGGGAGUAUUGCACAGUGGGCGGAAGCCUGAGGCAGCAACGCCGCGUGCGGGAUGACGGCCUUCGGGUUGUAAACCGCUUUCGCCUGUGACGAAGCGUGAGUGACGGUAAUGGGUAAAGAAGCACCGGCUAACUACGUG
rnacentral:rRNA from 1 species